rnacentral:rRNA from 1 species
GGGGAAUAUUGCACAAUGGGGGAAACCCUGAUGCAGCGACGCCGCGUGAGCGAAGAAGUAUUUCGGUAUGUAAAGCUCUAUCAGCAGGGAAGAAAAUGACGGUACCUGACUAAGAAGCACCGGCUAAAUACGUGCCAGCAGCCGCGGUAAAACGUAGGUCACAAGCGUUGUCCGGAAUUACUGGGUGUAAAGGGAGCGCAGGCGGGAAGACAAGUUGGAAGUGAAAUCUAUGGGCUCAACCCAUAAACUGCUUUCAAAACUGUUUUUCUUGAGUAGUGCAGAGGUAGGCGGAAUUCCCGGUGUAGCGGUGGAAUGCGUAGAUAUCGGGAGGAACACCAGUGGCGAAGGCGGCCUACUGGGCACCAACUGACGCUGAGGCUCGAAAGUGUGGGUAGCAAACAGGAUUAGAUACCCUGGUAGUCCACACCGUAAACGAUGAUUACUAGGUGUUGGAGGAUUGACCCCUUCAGUGCCGCAGUUAACACAAUAAGUAAUCCACCUGGGGAGUACGACCGCAAGGUUGAAACUCAAAGGAAUUGACGGGGGCCCGCACAAGCAGUGGAGUAUGUGGUUUAAUUCGACGCAACGCGAAGAACCUUACCAAGUCUUGACAUCCCUUGACGAACAUAGAAAUAUGUUUUCUCUUCGGAGCAAGGAGACAGGUGGUGCAUGGUUGUCGUCAGCUCGUGUCGUGAGAUGUUGGGUUAAGUCCCGCAACGAGCGCAACCCUUACUGUCAGUUACUACGCAAGAGGACUCUGGCAGGACUGCCGUUGACAAAACGGAGGAAGGUGGGGAUGACGUCAAAUCAUCAUGCCCUUUAUGACUUGGGCUACACACGUACUACAAUGGCGUUAAACAAAGAGAAGCAAGACCGCGAGGUGGAGCAAAACUCAGAAACAACGUCCCAGUUCGGACUGCAGGCUGCAACUCGCCUGCACGAAGUCGGAAUUGCUAGUAAUCGUGGAUCAGCAUGCCACGGUGAAUACGUUCCCG